rnacentral:rRNA from 1 species
CGGUGGAGCAUGUGGUUUAAUUCGACGCAACGCGAAGAACCUUACCAGGGCUUGACAUCCCUGACCGCGUAUGAAAGUACGUUUCACCUCGGGUGACAGGGAGACAGGUGGUGCAUGGUUGUCGUCAGCUCGUGUCGUGAGAUGUUGGGUUAAGUCCCGCAACGAGCGCAACCCUCAUUGUUAGUUACUACCAUUCAGUUGAGGACUCUAAUGAGACUGCCAACGAUAAGUUGGAGGAAGGUGGGGAUGACGUCAAAUCAUCAUGCCCUUUAUGACCUGGGCUACAAACGUACUACAAUGGCCAAUACAAAGAGAUGCGAAGCGGUGACGUGGAGCGAACCUCAGAAAGUUGGUCUCAGUUCAGAUUGAAGUCUGCAACUCGACUUCAUGAAGGCGGAAUCGCUAGUAAUCGCGGGUCAGCAGACCGCGGUGAAUACGUUCCCGGGUUUU